UCCAAUCCGAAGCCAGCCCUCCCCAAACCAAAGUUCACAGAACCAAAACCAGACAAAGGGUAUGACUCAAAACCAUACCUUGGCCGACCAACCAUCCCCAAACCAGACACUGCCAAGAAACCAGACACUGCAAGCCAAAUUAUGGUUACAACCCAAAACCAGAAGUUCCCAAACCGAAAUUGACAAUGCCGAAACCCAACUAUGGUAAUGACCCAAAACCAAAGUUGAUCGUACCCAAACCAGACACUGCCAAGCCAAAUUAUGGUUACAACCCAAAACCAGAAGUUCCCAAACCAAAGAUGACUGUACCAAAACCCGAUCAUGGUUAUGACCCUAAAGGGAAGGUUUACGAACAACCAAAGUCAACUGCACCAAAGCCAGAGAUUAUCACGCGGGAACCAAAGUUAUACAUACCAAAACCAAGUAAUGACAAACUGGACUAUGAGUAUAGCCCAAUCGGCAUCGAAGGUUUUGUCCUCUGCAAACAAGGCUCUAACUAUACCCCUAUUGAAGGUAAUUUCUACACCCUCUUUAAUUAUUCUUCCUCGGAUUCAAUGUAAUACUUUGUUUCGCAUGUAUUAUUAUUCUUACAGACGCUGCUAGCUGAUCAAUGAUAUUCUUUUGUUAAGUUUUCCUCACAGAAACUAUUUUUUUUGCGUGUAGGAGCUGUGAUAAGAAUAGCCUGUACUGCUGUGGACCAGUAUGGUUACAAGAAAGUCCCUUUCUCCUGCUUGACAGAAGCAACUAAUGCAAAGGGUUACUACUUCAAAACAUUGCCUGCUUUCAAGCUCACAGAAUGCAAGGCUUACCUUGAAAGCUCUCCAUUGAAAACCUGCAACGUUCCUACAGAUAUGAACUAUGGGAUCACCGGUGCUCCCCUUUCAGCUUAUCACCUUCUCCAUGACAAGAAAAUAAAACUGUACUCCAUGAGGACUUUCUUCUACACCUCGACGAAACCUACAUCAACCCCUGCUGGUUAUUAAAUUGCCUUCUCUCCAUGACUUCAAUUUUCUAUUUUUUACAUUGUUUAAAGCUGUUGUAACGGAUUGAUUUCCUUCUUGUUGUUUAUAUUUAUGGGCUUUUGUCUUGAUGAUCAGUUUCAUUAUGGGGAGAGUUUUGUGAUAAAAAUUCUUCAAUUAAGAUUUUUCUUUUCUUUAAAUCUUGGGAGAUUAAUGAUGUAUCAGUAUCACCAAAUAUUAAUGAACCACGAGGUCAUUGAUUUUUGUUCUUAAAAAAAAGGAGUUAAAGACUAGUCUUUUUUGUAUUUUGUCCUCCGGUUUUAUCAUGUUUCCACUUCAAUGUGUGCAUUUAUAAAUACUAAGUUACUUGGCAUGUGCUUAGUAAAUUUAUUAUUUGAUUAAUUUAUAGUAUUUUUUUUUAUUUUUUGAUAAAUUGUUUAUAAUUUUUUACAAAUGAAUAAAUUUAAGUUUUUAUUAAAUAUAAAUGUACUUGAUUUUUAAAUAAUUAUAUAUGAAUUUUGAUAAUUAUAAUAAAUUAAUUAUCACAUAAAUUUUGAUAUAAUUUAAGAGUUUUUGUAUUUUAAGACUUUAUAUUUCUUCACAGCUUAUUUUUAGUCUUUUAGAUUUUUAAUAGUUAAAAUAGAAUAUGAAUAUAAUAUUAUAUAGUUGAGGAUUGAUUUAAGUAGAUUAUUUUUAAGAUUGAGGAUGUUUUUCAAUGAAUAAUAAGUGGCUGGUAGCUGGUGUCUAGUAAUAUAAACCUGCAAAAAAUUUCUUUUGAUGAAUAUAAAAUCUCUUAAAUACUUAAAUCAAAUAAUUUUAUAAAGAAAAAGUUCAACAUUAAAUAUUUCCUUUUGCAUUGUGCUUUCCUUAAAAACCCAUUUACAACUAGUUUUCUUGCAUUUACUAGGCAAUUCAAUGAGAUGUGACAAGUUGGAUACUUUAGAAUAAAUCAUUGCACCUAACAAUGUCUAUUAAAACACAAUUAUAUUUUUUAGUAACUUUAUUUUACUGCAGCAUCCCUGACAUUGUAUAUCAUCGCACCCCUAAUAAUGUCUAUUAGAGUACAAUUAUGUUUUUCAGUAACUCCAUUCUACUGUAGCAUCCCUGACAUUGUAUAUCAUGCCCGAAUGCCUUAUUUUUUAAAAACUUAGAAAAUGUACCAAGAUUUUAUCUUAACUUAUCGUACCUAUCAUAGUACUCACCACUCUUAUUUGAUCCAAUAAUUUUAACAUUUCUAUCUAAUUAUCUCUUGGCUUCAAUGAUGCACACUAUAUGGAUGUCAACAAUUUGAGAUUUCUUAUGCAUUAGAUAUACAUAACCAUAACAUGACAUAUAUUUUUUGAAACAUAAAAUAUAGAGUGGUCGAAUAUGAAUAUGAAUAUGAAUAUAUAUAUAUAUAUAUAUAUAUAUAUAUAUAUAUAUAUAUAUAUAAUUUAAUGCAAUCCAUACACAAGUCCAAAUAAGUGAAAUCUAGUUUUUCCAAAACUUCAUUCUUCACUAAUAUCUAAAUCCUUUCCCUAAAGACAUGCCUCAUACAUCUAUGCCACAAGGUAAAUUUCAUUUAUUUCAUUACACUUUAAAACAACAUUAUAAUGCAAGGCCAUCAAACAUUGCUUUUCUAAUUAGUUUUUUUAUUUUUAUUUUAUUAUAUCUUUUAAUAUUAAAUUGGUUGAAUUUUCAGCUUCAUAUUUUAUUUUAUUUUGCUUUCUAAGUGGUUAUCAGAAUCUCAUAACCUGGAUCACAAAUUUUGUAGGUUGACUUUAUUCAUUUUUUCGGGUUCUUUUUUAAUUGAAUAUUUUUUUUUAAUUGGGCUUUGUAAAAAAAAAUUCUGAUUUUUUUUAUAGGGUUAUCUCAAUCUUAUAAAUCAGGUUACGAGUUUGACAUGUUGACUCGAUUUAUUUUUUAGAUUUUUUUUAAUUGAAUAUUUUUUUUGACAUGUUGUUUAGGAAUUAAGUUUCGUAAUUUUUUUUUUUCAGUAGAGUUAUCUUGGUUCAUGUAUUUAGUCUUUUUUUCAAUUUCAAUAUUUAAUAUUUGAUCUGUUGGAAAUGUAGCUUCAUAGUUUUUUUAUUUGUAUUUUAUGAAGUUAUCAUGAUCUUAUUAUUUAUGUUACGAGUCUAAUAGGUUAGCCCAAGUUGAAUUGGGUUAUUUUUUUUCCUUUUUCAAAGUGAUUUUUUUGUUUUAUCUUUUAACAUUGGGUUAGUUGAAAAUUGAGUUUCAUAACUUUUUGUUAUUUGAUUUCUAUAAGGUUAUCUUGAUCUCAUAACUAGAGUUGUGGGUUAACACGAGUUGACGAGAGUCAUUUUUUAUUUAAAAUGUUUUUUUUUCAAUUUCAUAAUUUAUUUUAAUUUGUUUUUUAUAGAAUUAUUUCGGUCUCAUGAUUCAAUUGCAGAUUUAUCAGGUUAACACAAACAUAUCCAAUAUGUCAUUGUCAUAAUAUUUGAAGAAAUAUUAUCCAAUAUGUUAUUAUAUCAAUAUUUAGAAAAAAUGUCAUCCAAUAUACAUCUUAUUUUGAGUUAUGAAUAAUUGUUUUUUAGUUAAAAAAAUUGAUUUCACCCAUAGCACAGUGCAUGCCAAUAAUCUCGUAAUAUUCUAUAACAUAAUGCGGAAAUAAAAUAGUGAGAUCGAAUACAUACCAUUAUUAUUCAUGAUAUCCAAUGAAGAAAUCUUUGUUUAUAUAUAUUCAGUUACCUACUUAUUAUAAUUUAUUUAGUGUCUUUUUAUAGAGGAUAUAGUGGUGAGUAAAAAAGAUAAUCAUCGGGUCUAAUUAUUUAUCAUGAUUCCUUAAAUUUUUUUUAUAGACUGUUUGAACCCUAUAAAUUAAAUUAAACUCACAUGGUUAAAUCACUUUUUAUGUUUGAAUUCUUUUAAGGAUAUUAAUUUUAGUUCGAAACGAAAUUGAAUUUAUAAAAAAUAUGCAAGAUUUUCUAGUGUGCCACGGUAAUUCCUCUUGAAAUUCUUGUUGUUUAUAAUAUUCCAAAGAUACCUCUUUUCAAUGCAGAAAACAGGAUAAAAAAAAGGAAGAAAGAAGAGGUUGGUGAUUAAAAACCUUUCACAAGAACGCAACCUUUCUGGUGUCAACUUCUCUUCUCUCUUAAUCUUAGUUUGUACAGAACUUAAUUCAGAGACGGGUUUUGAAUCGGCAUCUCGUCUUCUUUGACAAUAUCAUCAUUAACUUCGUUAUUGAGUUUUUUGAAGCCAUCCACACCUGUUGUGCUUCAACAUGCUUCAAGCUAUCAAGUUUUCAGUCGCUAAAAAGGCCAAAAAGGGUAGCCAGUGCUUUACUACCAGGCAUCACUUCUCAUGGAGCACGGUCCCAGGCAAAAAUGUUUAGAACUAGAGCAAUCACUUCAGCAGAUUAAGAUUAUGCAGACAUGAGCACAUCUCAACUUUGGAAAAACUGACCUGUGAUGAUUGCAUGGUUUGGACAGAAAUGUAUUGUAAGACAACUAGCACAGCAGGCAAAACAAGAUACAUAUGCCACGGUAUCCGACCAUCAAGGGGUGUGUGUCCAUCUUGAGAAACAAUCAAUCAAUAAACAUGAAGCAAGAUCCACAUGAAGGAAAUAAAGGCCUUUAUUUUAUGUCAUUUUCAAUGAAUUAUAUUUUAUCCAGAAACUGUUGAUUACAAGUAUACAAAUUUCAAGACAUAUAGCAAAGGCACGUCCUGAAUAAAAAUGCCGAAUAUAAUAAUAUUGUCCAAAGUCCAAGCCAUCAUGCCGUAUUGCAAUGUGUCCUUGGUGUAGGAGUAUUGCUCAUCACGUCGCUCACCCCUCCUCUCCUACUGUGCAUACAAUUAGUCUCCCUUUCCUUCCUAUAUUUUAUUUCUCAGAUUAGGAACCCAAUCGGGCAAUCAGUCCUAUAAAAGGCCAUGAUGAUGGUAGCGUCGAUCCCUGUCCUCUUUGCGAUGGCUCUAACCCAUUCCUCCUCCGCCACCUUAUUCCUCCUCUUGUCAUUGUCAGUGAUUGCCUCCGCUGGCGGUUACGGCUAUGACCAAAAGCCAAAUACAACCAAGCCAGAUCAUACUUACAACUCGAAAUCAAAGCCAGACACUUCCAAACCCAAGUAUAGUUAUGACCCCAAACCACGGCCACACGUCGUCAAACCAGACCUCCACAAACCAUAUUACGACUCCGAAGCCAACCCUCCCCAAACCAAAGUUCACAGAACCAAAACCAGACAAAGGGUAUGACUCAAAACCAUACCUUGGCCAACCAACCAUCCCCAAACCAGACGCUGCCAAGCCAAAUUAUGGUUACAACCCAAAACCAGAAGUUCCCAAACCGAAAUUGACAAUGCCGAAACCCAACUAUGGUAAUGACCCAAAACCAAAGUUGGUCGUACCCAAACCAGACACUGCCAAGACAAAUUAUGGUUACAAACCAAAACACGAAGUUCCCAAACCAAAGAU
rnacentral:lncRNA from 1 species